rnacentral:tRNA from 1 species
UUUAGGGAGACCGAACCCAUCAAACAGUCGAAAGUAAAAAGCUCAUAGGCAAAAUUGAUGAGGUCAUCCUAGGUCGGAGCGAAGCAAUCAGUGUGAGGCUUUCUAACUAUAAUUAAGGUUUGGCAAAAGGGGCUAUUAGCUCAGGUGGUUAGAGCGCACCCCUGAUAAGGGUGAGGUCCCUGGUUCGAGUCCAGGAUGGCCCACCUGAACAAGUCAAAAGUCAAAAGCUAAAAGUCAAAAAAUAAGUAUUGACAAUUAGACAGAUCGUUUUGGACUUGAAAUUAGGGGGUAUAGCUCAGUUGGUAGAGCGCCUGCUUUGCAAGCAGGAUGUCAGCGGUUCGAGUCCGCUUACCUCCACCAAAAAGAGCUAAAUUAGGUCUAACAAAAGUCAAGACGCAAUCGAGCGUGCUAGACUAGAACAGGUGAAGUUUUCAGCACCAUGACAGGGAAACAAUGUCAGAAUGCUGAAAAAAUAAUUCAGCCAGAACCUUGAAAACUGCAUAGCAACAACAAUAGCAGGCAGAUACAAAAAGUAUCUGACAUGUAAAAAACUGGUCAAGCUACAAAGGGCU